GUGCUGGGAUUACAGGUGUGGGCCACCACACCCGGUCAUAAAGCUGCAUUUUAUAAGAAAAGAAAAAAUUCAGGCUGGAACAGCCUUCAUGUGAUAUACACCUGCUAGUUCUUCCUGGCCGUCAGCACCUGGGAUUUGGCGUGUGCAUUGCUAAGAGCUGGGGUUGGCUCCUAUGGGGAAGUAGUAUUUCAACUUGGAUGCAAAGCAGAAAGGAACUGAACACAAGGAUUCUUAAAUUAGAUUAUGGGCAAUUUAGAUUGUUCCCUGAGUUGAAGUGGCCUUUGGCCAGCCAUGGGGCCCUGAUGCCAUGAGUCACACUUGCCCUGGAGAGGGCCAGGGAACUCCGAGCUGAUGCCCUUGUUAUAGCAAAGCCACAUCAUAACCUAUGCAAUCAAGCUUGAAAACAAAGGAAUUUUAUGUUGUCUUUCUCAUCUGACCUCAAAUCCCAGAGGGGGAUUCCUUUUGCUGAGUUUUUGAUUAAAAUGCUCAUGGGUCCUGUUCCUUUUCCCUUUAGAAGAGAUUAAUUGCUCAGUUUCCUGACUCCAGGUCAAGAGAGACUGCUCUCCUCCCCAAGCUAGGGGAACCUUCUGGGACUUCAUCAGCCGCCAGUGAGGGGAUAAUGGUCCCUCACUGCCCCAUCAGGAAAGGCUCGUGGGUGAUUGGGACCUUUGCUUGAAACCCAACUUACUGGCCAGGAACCUCAAGUUCUGGGACCAGGCGCCUUCCUCCCUCCCACUGUACCAGGGGAGGGGAGACACAACCCCUCAAUGGCUGUCUAGCUCCAGGCAGAUCAGCUGCUACGGGGGCUGCUGAGCAGGGAGAGGCUGUCGAUGCUGAGGCACGAGAGAAUUUGCUCCUGCUCCUCCAGAGAAAAUGGCUGGGACAGGCUGUUGAGGAAUAAUUCUGCAGGGAAAAGUGGAAGAUGGCUGUGAAAGACUGGGAGGAGGCUGGCUGUGUUUUCAGGGGUUCUUCCUGCACAGUCUGUAGAAGCUGAGCUGCUGGGGAAGGGGCUGGAAGAAAGCCCACACCGCAGCUGCUGCAGUUCCUGCUCCGGGAAGGUUGCUUUCCGCUCUGGUGAGCUGGGGUUUCUGGCAGGGGCUGGCUCCAGGGAGGACAGAGGUAAG